rnacentral:tRNA from 1 species
AAAAUUUUAGUUUAAUUGAAAAUAAUCUACUUACAAUAGAUAGAUUUUUGCUUAAUAGUAAUUAAAUUUUU